UUGACCUCGGAUCAGGUAGGGAUACCCGCUGAACUUAAGCAUAUCAAUAAGCGGAGGAAAAGAAACCAACAGGGAUUGCCUCAGUAACGGCGAGUGAAGCGGCAAGAGCUCAAAUUUGAAAGCUGGCUCCUUCGGGGUCCGCAUUGUAAUUUGCAGAGGAUGCUUCGGGAGCAGCCCCCAUCUAAGUGCCCUGGAACGGGCCGUCAUAGAGGGUGAAAAUCCCGUAUGGGAUGGGGUGUCUGCGCCCAUGUGAAGCUCCUUCGACGAGUCGAGUUGUUUGGGAAUGCAGCUCUAAAUGGGUGGUAAAUUUCAUCUAAAGCUAAAUAUUGGCCGGAGACCGAUAGCGCACAAGUAGAGUGAUCGAAAGAUGAAAAGCACUUUGAAAAGAGAGUUAAAAAGCACGUGAAAUUGUUGAAAGGGAAGCGCUUGCGAUCAGACUCGCCUUGGGGGUUCAGCCGGCAUUCGUGCCGGUGUACUUCCCCCAGGGCGGGCCAGCGUCGGUUUGGGUGGCCGGUCAAAGGCCCUUGGAAUGUAACGCCUCUCGGGGCGUCUUAUAGCCAAGGGUGCCAUGCGGCCUACCUGGACCGAGGAACGCGCUUCGGCUCGGACGCUGGCAUAAUGGUCGUAAGCGACC
rnacentral:rRNA from 2 species